CAGAAACUCCCUCUCAUUUUCUCCUUUACGUGACAACAAAAUGGUAGAAAAAACCUUUCCCUUCUUCCCCUCUCUCUCUCUCUCUAAUUUAUAUUUACAUCUGCCCAAGGGAGUGAUGAAAGUUCAAUUCACCGAAUGAGGACGAGGCGGCGGCUACAUUUACCUUAUUCGUCGUGCAAAUUCGUGAUCACGAGAGAAGGAAUUCGGGACAUUGAGAGAUGAUAUAUAUUAUGGAAGGAUUUUAUGAGAGAUGAUCUUGUCUUCUCUUUCUGCCAGUUUUCCUUUUGAACUGAGCGUCAUUAUUGAAUCUUCAAAAUGUCGAAGAAUACAGGCAACAGUAACUCUGUGACGCCGGGUGAAUACAAGGUGUACCUUGAUUUGCCGGCACUCACCUGUGACACCAGUGCUCAAAUCGCUACCCGGAAGGAGAAGGAGAAUGUUGGUCAGUUCCCAAUCAGCCUUAACCUCGAAUUUUCAACCAUUCGAUCGCAAAUCCUGAACAUGGAUCCCCUGCCGAACGUCAAUCGAGCCCAUUCGAUGGUCGGGCAUGAUGAAGCUCAACGAUUGAUUGCUCAAGGAAGAGAUUCCAGCUCCCAAGUGAUGGGUUUUGCAGCCAAAGUCGCGAUUGAUUCCGAGUGCAAUAACCCUAAUUUUAGUUCCAACCGAGGCGAUUUCAAGCCUCGAGGUUGCCCAUUCUAUAACUCUUGUGGGCAAAAUGGCCACCACCGAGCCACCUGCUACGAGCUCCAUGGUUACCCAAACUCCAACCAAGCGAAUCAAUGAAGCUCGAGAGGAAAUUUGUCGGGACAGUCUCGGCCAGGAGGAAACUUUGAGUCUUCCUCGUCUUCUGUUCAGCAGAUGCAUGGAGGAGGAGUUCCGGGUUCGAUUCAUUCAACUUCGGGCAAUCGGGCAGGUUUUAUUUGGGCGGCCCAUUCCGGACGCAUCCAGCCCAAUUGAGUCGUGGGCAGUGGAGGCCUACUCAAUCGGCCCAACAUUCUUCUUCCCAGAGUCCAACAGGCCAUCUAGCGGGCCAGGCCCAGGCUCAUUGCGAACAGACAGCACCUCAGCAAAUUAGCAAAUCUCUCUAAGGUCCAAUUACAGCAACUUGUCUCGAUAGUCUCACGAGACGAUGGACCGCACCUCAGGGAGUACGAUUGGAGUGGGUGAACUUCACGGGGGGAUCUGGCUUCUGCGACAAGUGUUUUCUUCGUUUCAGAGAGCACGGGCAAUGAAAGCAUAUACUGAAGACAUUUGGCAUAAGCGGUCGGGACAUCCUUCCUGCCGGGUUAAGUUCGAGAGUAAUUCCAUUUUUAUGCAUCGGUCAGAUAGUAACGCACUUUGUGAUGUAUGUUGCCGAGCAAAACAGACACGCUCCAGUUUCCCAAUAAGUUCAACUAAAGCUUCUUUCAAUUUCAA